rnacentral:lncRNA from 1 species
GAUGAGUCCUCCAAAAAAAACAUUCCUUGGAAAAGCUGAACAAAAUGAGUGAAAACUCAUACCGUCAUUCUCAUCGGAACUGAGGUCCAGCACAUUGCUUCCUCUGGGGCCUUUACUAGUGAGGGACAACUUCCACUAGUCCCUAUAGGUUCUAACACCCAUGGCGUUCACAGGUGAAGGUCUCCUGUCAUAUUACAAACAUUCCCCCCACUCCCCUCCCAAAAAAAGGAACAUUUCCUCUGUGUCAGGUACACAGGUCAGAGAGUCAUAGGGUGACUGGCUGCUCUGUGAUGGCAUAGUGGCCGUGGAAGUGGAUGGAAAUGUCGCAGGCUUAGGGGAGUGUGGGGCUGGCCUCGGCUUGGUGAGCUCCCAGGAAGGGGGACCUGGAAAUCGCUGCGGGCAUCCUUGCAUAGAGGACCAGCAGUUGUCAUGAGAGGUCUGCCGCUUGCUGGCAAGGAAGAUGGUCAAUUCUUCUGACCAACAGAGGCUGCCUUGAGUCCUGAUUUGGUGUGGCCUGGCAUCUAUGGUGCACCCAAUGCUGGGGCAGUUGCCGUGGGAGGCCUGCCGUCUGCUGAAAGGAAGAUGGUUGAUGCUUCUGAGCAAUGAAGGCCCCAUGGAGUCCUGGAUUCGGUGUGGCCUUGCAUCCGUGGUGCACCCCGUGCUGGUGGAUGGCUCAGGACGGGGCAGUUGCCAUGGGAGGCGCAGGCCUGCUGGAAGGAAGAUGGUCGAUUCUCCCAAGCAACAAAGGCCACGUAGAGUCCUGGUUUCAGUGUGGCCUGGUAUCCACAGUGCACCCCGUGCUGGUGGGUGGCUCAGGACGCACACUCAUUUCCUCUGCACCUUCCUGGUGUCAUUGGCAUGGAAGGAAGGCCCUUGUCCAAGAAGGAUGGUCUUCGUCUUGUGUGAUCUUUGAGAUGCCAUGAGGCCCCUGGAUACAAAUGGUGUGGGCUCCUUUGGAGGCUUUUGGAUUUCUCCUGAAUGUGGCGUUGGUAUGGAAGGAAGGCCAGUGACCGCAAGGGAUGACUUUGAUCUUGGGAGAUUUUUGGAGAUGGCAAAGUGCUUCUAAACAUGUUUGGCAUGGUCUCCUUCAGGCUGGUGGAUACCUCAGGAUGAAACAAAGAUUGUGCCUGGAUCAAUGAUGACUUCCAUAUAUACAUUCCUUGGAAAGCUGAAUAAAAUGAAUGAAAACUCUAUACCAUCAUCCUCAUUGAACUGAGGUCCCAGCAUGCUGCUACAUUGGAGGGCAAGGAGAGGGGGCCAACAUCUGUUUGUUGACAUGGUCUACACCUUGGCUUAGGAUGUGGUCCUCUUUGGGCAAAUGCAAGCGUCUGGGCUUUUUGGACUUCUGUAGCUGAGAGACAGCUUGGUUGAAGGAAUUUCCUCUGAGAAGGUGGGGUGGCAUGGGCAUGCAAAGAAAGACAGAGGCUGCAAGGGAUAAACUUCAUCUUGGGAGAUCCCUGGAGAUGGCAGGGAACCCAUGGACACAUGUGGCAUGGGCUCCUUUGGGUGCCGGUGGAUCCCUUCAUACGGUAAAGCCAGAGUUGGGUAUCAACCAGAUACACUGCAGGGGAUCAGAGGACAUGGCCUUUGUGUACUGCACAUCUGUCAGAUUUUCUCAAGCACACCCGUGUUUCCUCUUCACCUCCCACGUGGAAGUGAUGAAUUGGCCAGGACCAUGUUGGUGAGGGACAAUCAUCAUCUCAUGUUAACCUCAGAGAAGCCAGGAAGCUCCUGGACACACAUGGUGUAGGCUUCCUUGGAGGCUGUUGGAUCUCUCCUGAAUGUAGUGUUGGUGUAAAAGGCAAACCCGUGUCAUGAGGGAUGGUCAUCAUCUUGUGUGAUCCUUGGAGAUGGCAGGAAGCCCUGGACAUACAUGGUGUGGGGGCUCCUCCAGAGGCUGUUGGGAUCCUCCUGGAUGUGGUGUGGGCAUGGAAGGAAGGCCAGUGGAGACAAUGGAUGAUCUUGUUCUUAGCAGAUCACUGGAUGUGGCAGGGAGUCCUAGGACAUGUGUGGUGUGGGCUUCUUCAGGUGCUGGUGGUGUUGGCAUGAGGAAAGGAGGUAUCUUCGAGGGACAAUCUUCUUCUUGUGCGAUCCUUGGAGAUGCCAUGAGGCCCCUGGACACAUGUGGUGUGGGCUCCUUUGGAGGCUGUUGUAUCCCUUCUGAAUGUGGCGUGGGCAUAGAAGGAAGGCCAGUGGCCACGAGGGACAAUCUUGGUCUUGGGAGAUCCUGGAAAUGAUAGGGAGUCCCUUGAUAUGUGUGGCAUGGGCUCCUUCAGGUGCUAGUGGAUUCCUUAGGAUGGGACAAACACUGUGCGUGGAUCGAUGAUGACUUCCAUAUAUACAUUCCUUGGAAAGCUGAACAAAAUGAGUGAAAACUCUAUACCGUCAUCCUCGUCGAACUGAGGUGGUGUUGGCAUGAAAGGCAGGCUUGUAUCAUGAGGAAUGAUUGUCAUCUUGUCUGAUUCUUGGAGAUGGCAGGAAGCCCCUGGAAACACAUGGUGUGGACUCUUUCACAGGCUGUUGAAACCCUCCUGAAUGUGAGGCCAGAGACAGGCAGACAGCAGAUGUAUUGCAGGGAGCUGGAUGACAUGGCCCUUGGAACCUGUGCACAUGCCUGCCUUUCUGAUGCACGUCCAUGUUUUCUCUGCACCUCCCCGGUGGUGUUGGUAUAAAAAGCAGGCUUACAUCAGCAAGGGAUGAUUGUCGUCUCAUGCGAUCCUGGGAGAUGGCAGAAGUCCCGGGACACAUGGAGUGUGGGCUCUUUCGGAGGCUGUUGGAUCCCUCCUGAAUGUGUUGUGGCCAUGGAAGUAAGGCCAGUGGCUACGAGGGACAGUCUUCAUCUUGGGAGAUCCCUAGAGAGGGCAGGGAGCCCCUUGACAUGUGGAAUGUGAUCUCUGUUGGGUGCUGGUGGAUCCCACAGGUGGUCUGGCAUGGAAGAAGGCCAGAGGCUGCGAUGGAUCAUCUUUGUCUUGGGAGAUUCCUGGAGAUGGUGGGGAGCCCCUGGGCACGUGCAGCAUAUGUGGCGUGGGCUUCUUCAGGUGCUGGUGGAUCCCUCAGGAUGCUUUUCAAGGUUUUUCUAUGAGUUCUGUUAAAGAGUCUGAAAAUGGAGCGUAGAAGACAUGCUUCGAUUUCCAGGAUGGUUGUGUUUUCCAGAGAGGCGGAGGUAAACCACUGGCGCAGCCCUGCCUCCCACAGAUAAUUCCGGGUGCAGUGUUUCAUAUCUAGACUUGGACUUCUAUCCUACCAUACUUCUUUGUGUGCAGUUCAUUGUGGAACCAGCACAGAUUUUCAUACGAAAGUUAUUUCUUUUUAACCUCAAAAAGUGACAGAAUGGAGUGUAUCAUGAAAAAGUCUGACAUCAAAACCUCAAAAUGUGAUAUUGAUUGGGUGAGAUAGAAUUCCAUGGAAUUUCAUUGCCAAACCAGUGAAGUGCUAAUUUUGACAUUUGUACCAGCUAACGUAGCUGUGAAGAAACACACCAAUACACUUCUAAGGACAGCAUAGACCAAGAUCUAGGUUUCAUAUGGAUGAAUUUAUUCUUCCCUUUGAGGCAAGACAAGAAGGAAAGAAAGUAUUGGGAAUAAUGCUGCCCUCCCAUCCUCAAGGGCCAGUGGGAACUCUAAUAUUGAUUGGGUGAGAUACAAUUCCAUGGAAUUUUACCACUGAACCAGUGGAGGGCUAAUUUUGUCAUUUGUACCAGUUAACUAACUUGGGAGGAAACAGAACAACACACUCCUGAGAUUGGUUUUCACAGAAUUCCAUGGACUUUAACUGCUGAACCAAUGAUGCACUGAUUUUGUCACUUGUACCAGCUAACGCAUCUGGGAGGCAACAAAACAAUACUCUCCUGAGGUUAAUGUGGACCAAAAACUAGAUUUCAUAUAAAAGAGUUUAUUCCUUCUACUUGAGGUGUGACAUGAAGGAAAGUAAUGGAAAUAAUUCUGCCCUCCCAUUCUCAAGGGCCAGGGGGAAUUCAAAUAUUGAACGGAAGUGAUUUUGGAAUUGCAUGGAAUUCUCACUGCCAUCCCAAAGAAAUGCUGAUCUUGUCACUCUUACCUGUUUCAUUCCCUGGGGGCAGAACAAAAGGACGCACUCCAAAGAUCGGCAUGAACCAAGAACUGGGUUUCAUAUAAAAUAUUUUAUUCUGUCCUCUUGAGAUGUGACAUGAGAAAAGUAUUGAGAAUACUUCUAUCACCUCAUCUUCAAGAAUCCGUAGGAAUUCUCCCAUGGUGGACUUUACGGUUAACCUGAACAGGUCUUGGAAAAAGGACUUUAAACAUUCUCCUGUUCUGUGGAAUAAGUAUACUUUUUUCUGGACAUACACCUUGUCAGUGAGUUCCAUGUGAUACUAGAGUUGCAUAGAUUUUUAACCUUUACGCCAAUGAAGAUCUGAGGCAAACAUUGCCCCUUUUUUAGAAGUUUGCAUUUGUCACUGAUAACUGUAAUAAUUGAUCUUGUUGAAAAGCCUGGGAAAUGAAGAUCUGAUAUGUCACUUUUACCGGCUUCCUCAACUGAAAAAGAAUACAAUGAAACACGCUGAGAAUUUUUGUGCUUUCUCAGUCUUGCUGAUGAUCUUUCUAUGGGCCUGAAGCGUGGAGAGUGCCAGAGAGGCUGAUCCUCAGCAGUGUGGCAGAGGAAAGUUGGGUGCGACUAAGGGGUAUGCGGUGCCCACAUGCCACUGGGUCCUCAGCAGUACCACCUGAUUGGAAGUGAUAUUGGUGGAAGACAACAUUUUGCCGCUUGGAAUUCUCACCUCCACACCAAAGAAGUACUGUUUUUGUCAUUUGCACCAGCUUCUUUCUCCAGGAAAGAUCAAAACGAUGCACUGCAAGUGUGAUUGGUCCAGAUAGCUGCCUUAUCCAACUGCCUCCUUUGGACCACUUCAUCAUGGGACAGCUUGAUGCAAUCUACUUGACAAGACCCUGGAACCCCACACCCCUCAUGGAACCAGUGUCCACCUCCCAGUCACAGUGUGACCCCAGGGAACUCUUGCCUGCUUGCUUUAAACCCACCACUUAAAAGUCUCCACAGAAAACCUGUUUGAAUAGUACCCUUGACCCAAUAAGGGCAUUGGCCCCUGGGUGUCUCUCUCUCUCUCUCUCUCUCUCUCUCCCUCUCUCUCCCUCUCUCUCUCUCGCUCCCUGACCUCUGCGUGUGGACUCCAGGCAUGCCAUAUACCCCUCAGGACCUGAAGCAAAAGAAUGAAUUAAAGAAAACUCCAGAGAAUGAGCUGACAACCUACUCCCUGGUCAGUGGCUCUCCAUGCCUACCUGUGGUCUCUUGGACACCCUUGCAGAAGAUGACUUCCUGGGAACUCUUCUGGGAGUGAAUGUUAUCAGCAAAUUCCCAAAACAACACCCCUUAGACAAAAAGCCUCCUCACCUAUGCAUUGCCUAGACCACCCACUAAAGGUGAUGGCCACAAAGAGGUGGAUUUGUUGAGUUGGUGCCAUUCCUUCUACUGCCAGCUUCACCAAAACAAUGACACAGUCUUCCUUCCGCAUGGAGACUCUUCUCUUUCCUGUGUUGCAGUGGAUGCCUCCUGCAGAUAAGAAAUGCUUAACUGAGAAAUGCUCAUGUUGGGAUAUCAUCGAUGAGACUUUAAUUUGGGCAUGGUGACUGUUUCCCUUGCUGCCACUUGACUCAAUCCCAGGAGCCUCAGUAGAGGAUAUAAUAUUACACAAGAUGCUCAAAAUGGUGGAAUUGCUCAGUGCUCCCAUAAAUAUACAUUUAUAAUUUUCAUUUGCCACAUGGUAAACUGAAAAAUACAGACUAUAUUAAAAAGAAACUGCAUGAUUUUUUUUCAAAAAUUCAAAGCAUAUUUAAAUAAUAUAUAAAUUAAAUGCCCUCCUCUCUUCCAAUUCUGUCCCUAUAGUUUUCCUCUAUUAAGUGAACUACAUGCAUUCUUUUAGUGGAUAGAUGCACACAAACACACAAGCCAUUAUGGGGAAGGAUCCACGUGUGUGGCCAUAUUGUAACACAUUUUUCUGCAAAUCACCUCUUUCAUUUAACAGCCCUUAUUCAAUGGCCUUUUUCUUUUUCAGUAGUACAUACACAUCUGUGUCAUUUGUUGAAUGACGACAUGAAUGUUUUGUAGAUAAAAUAUAAUUAAAUGUUUUAAGCAUUUCUCACUCAUAGAUAUUUAUGUUAGCACCAAAUUUCUGUGCAAUGAACCUCCCUAUAUAUCAGUAAUUUUGCAUUUGUCUAUAAUAUCAUAAUAAAUUACUUAUCAGUUGAAUUACUGGGAUUAAGUAUGUGCACACUUUAUAUUUAUAUUUUGAAAAUUAUUGCAAGAUUGCCUUCAAAAAUGUGGUUAACAACUUUAUCUUCAAAUGGCAAUGAAUGAGAUUGCCAGCUUUCCUACAGCCUCACAGACAAUGGAUUUUAUAAAUAUUUAACAUUUUUGCCAAUGUGAUCACCCAAACUAUUGUCUUAAAUUGUAUCUCUUUUGUUUUUGAGUUUGGUCAUUUUUUCAUGUUUAUUAGCCAUCUGUAUUUUUUAAUUUCUUCUUUAUGUCCAAUUUUGUGGGUGGGAGGAGGAUUUAGUCUCUUCCUGAUUUCGAAGAGCUCAUUUACUAUUUCGGGAAAUAAGAUUUGGAUUGUCAACCAUUAUAGCUAUUUUUUACACACUUUUCAACUUUGUUUUUGUUAUAAGAAUGUGUAUGAUUGUUACAUGUCCAAGUAUAACCAUGUUCGCUUUUAUGGCUUCUGAGUUUCAUGUCAUUUUUGGAAAGAUAUAUAUAUUGAGUCCAUAAAACCCUUCACCUAUGUUAAAUUCUAAUUCUUUUGUGUUUUUUUAAUUCAAAUUCUUAAAUCAUGAGAAAUUUUUUUGUUUUGAAAUCUUAAAGUUGCCAAGUUACUUGCCAUUACUUGCGAUUAUUUGCCAAUAAUUGCCCAUUUAUCUGUACCGCCAUCUUGCGCAUAUGCUGUACUCUCAUCUGUGACUGGCUCCAUUUUUGUUCUGUGGAUUUGUGUGUCUCUUCUUCUGCCUCCUGUCUCGUGUCUGCUCGUUGGAAGAAAUUACAGUUUAGACUGCAAUUUCAUCAACUUUAAUAAAUCAAUUGAGGGGAGAAUUGGUUUUUAAAAAUAUUAAGUAAGUCUUCGUAUCCAAGGACAAGGUAUGUCUUUUCUUAUUCAAUAAUUUUAAUUACUGUUAAUAUUUUCACUGUGGUGAUGGGAGUUUUUCUUUUAAUUUAUUUUCUUGUUCAUUUUUUGUAUCUAAAGUUUUUGUUUUGUUUUGUUUUGGGGGUAAGUUGUCACCUUACUGUUUCUUGUUGCUUUUCAGAUUUUUUCAAAGUAUAGACUAAAUCCUUCACAAAUAUUUAAAGUUUUUAUUUUCCCCCUUCAUAUUGAUCCUGAUUUUAGUUAUGUUGACAAAGUCCACAGACUGUUACUAUCAGAACACUUGAACAGUUAUGGAAAUAUUACCUACCCUUGAUUUAAUCAGAGUUUAAUGGUAUGCUUCUUUGGUUUGACUGGCACAUUGUCGCUGGUCAUUUCCUCCCAAAGACCACCAGAAAGAGCUAUGAUCAAGCAAAGCUGAGUUUGUUAAACUUACCUGCAGCAAGGGAAAACACCACCUUGAUAGGGUUUAAUAAUGUUUCAAAAUCAAGAAAUGAGGCUUUGGGGUCUGGGCAGGGAACUAAUUAGAAAUGGGCAAAAUUUGUCAUGCAAUACCUUGUGGGAAAGUGAGAUGAGGUUCUUAAUGUGAGUAUUGAUGGUGAAAUCAUUUUCUAGGUGAGCUGUUUGCCUAUAUAAAGAUGUUAUCAAUGACAGAAGAACUAUUUGCCUAGAUAAACAAACUGAAUUUAUUUAUUGGUUUACAGUUUUAUCUUGCUGGGCAGGACUCUGCUGGGGGUGGUAUCAGGUCUUAUUCCCAAUAGGUAAGUUAUUUGGAUAUGGGUGGUCUUAAUCAUCAAUGUGUAAAAUGCUGAUUUUAAGUGCGAAAUACUUUGUCUACCAUGUUAGGAAAGUCUGCCACCUUUUAUCUUUUUUAAGGAAUUUUAAUCAAAACCAGGUGGUAGAUAUAAUCAAAUUGUUUUGCAGAAUCAAUUUUCCUGUUCUCUUUAAAGACUUUUAUCACUGUGAAUUAAUUUACUAUUAUUGCAACUUCCUUUAAUUCCUUGAAUGAACAGACCCUACUGGUUUUAAAAAUGUUUUAUUCUUUUAAUUUACUACUUAAUUGUGGGUAUUUUAAUUUGAUUUGGAAUUUUUACAAGUAUACAACUAAGUGAAAUUGAUCUGUGAUUUUUCUUUUUUGUGCUAUUUUUGUCAUGUUUUGAUAUCAGAUAUUCUGGUUGUGUUAAAAUAAUUUUGAGGAUUUUCUUCUUAUACUGUGUUCUAGAGUGGGUAAAAAAGCCCUAGUCUCACUAUCAGUGUUUAAGUGAACACAUCAGUGACAUCAUCUGGACUCUCCUUUGUUUUUGCUGGUUUGGAGUUAGGACAUCUAGAAGUUUUUUUCUUUUUUUCCUUUUUUUGUAUGGUUAUUGCUUGUUCUUUGUUUUGUGUCAAAUUUAACCUGUUUUCUCUUAGCAAAUCACAGCUCAUGCAGAUUUUCAAACACAUUAGCCUUGUUAUACAAAGUGUUCUUUCAUCAUUCUAUUAAAUUUCCAUUUUCAUUCCAGUUAUAGUUAUUUCUGCUGUGCCUUUGUUAAUGAAUAAGUUUAAACAGUGGAUGUUUAGCAUCACUAGCCUUCCCCUUCCAUCUCCCUUAAUCAGGACCUUGGUAUAAUUUAUCAGGUAUUUUUUAAGGUUCUAAUUUACUUAUAUAUAUUGUUUCUGUAUUCUUUUGUUUCUUUUCUUAAUAAAUUCUUAAA